rnacentral:rRNA from 1 species
CCUACGGGGGGCAGCAGUGGGGGAUAUUGCACAAUGGGGGAAACCCUGAUGCAGCGACGCCGCGUGAGUGAAGAAGUAUUUCGGUAUGUAAAGCUCCAUCAGCAGGGAAGAAAAUGACAGUACCUGACCAAGAAGCCCCGGCUAACUACGUGCCAGCAGCCGCGGUAACACGGAGGGGGCAAGCGUUAUCCGGAUUUUCUGGGUGUAAAGGGAGCGUAGAGGGUUAUGUAAGUCUGGAGUGAAAGUCCGGGGCCCAACCCCGGGACUGCUGUGGAAACUGGGUAACUGGAGUACAGGAGGGGCAGGCGGAAUGCCUGGUGUAGCGGUGAAAUGCGUAGAUAUCAGGAAGAACACCGACGGCGAAGGCAGCCUGCUGGACUGGAACUGACGUUGAGGCUCGAAAGCGUGGGGAGCGAACAGGAUUAGAUACCCUUGUAGUC